UGAAUAUUAUUAUCUUUGGCCUGCGGCCUCGUACCUACGACCGAAUCACAGCCGUGCUGAUAUUCAGCACUCCCUCUCGUGUGAUAUUGCUUAACUGACGUACGUUCAUCACAUUAUCUAGCUAAAUAAGGGAGGCCUAAAAAACUAAAAAGUCAAAUACGGUCCAAAUCUUUCAUUCAUCUAACAACACCAUGAAUGAAGAUGGAAUGGAUGACAUAUCCAGGCAUGGACCAUAUAUCAUCCGCAGUAUUAAAAGGGUGAAGAAUUUGUGUGGACUAGGCAUCUCUCCUCUGGGACCUGUGAUUUCAGCCCCACUCCCACCUCCUUCCACUCUUCACCCCCCCUUCCUCCACCCUCCUGUCCCCUCCAUCCCCCCACCCCUCUCCAAACCCAAGAGACCAACAUGGUUCCACCAGAACCGUACAGCUUGUCAGCCCACAGUAUGUCUUAUACACAGACACAGAGUUGGAGCAAUCAAGAAGCUCCUUUUUUGAAAAUCAGCGUGCUGGACAAAGACUAUAUCCUUUCCAAAGAUCUUCGCUGUCGAUUAAUCAGGAACAGAGUAACAAGCAUGAUUUCCAUUAAGAGAGCGGCAGGGGAUGACUUCCAGUAUCCAUGCAGCCGUGAACUCACUGUAAUGGCGAAGCGUCUCAUAGAGUACUACCCAAUGCUGCGGGACAGAUCUACAACCAGUGGAGCUGAGUGGGAAUCUGUGAAGAAGCAGCUUUUGAAAAGGAUUCGGAAUGUGACAACCCCCAAAAAGAAGCAGGGAGCGACCCUUUCAAGAAAGAGGCCACGAAGCCUUAGAUUUCAGAGCAGCCAGGAGAUGUCCACUGAUGAGACUGAUGAAUCCACCUCCUCAACCCUGAUCUUGGAGAGAUCCUCACUAUCUAGAUGCAGCACCCCAGAGGUUGAACAGUUGGGUGAAACUACUGAGAGGCCUACAGAACCAGGCGAGACAUUAUAA
rnacentral:lncRNA from 1 species